GGCUCUCUCCGUAAAGCAGACAACAGGUCACUAGGCUCUCUCCGUAAAGCAGGCAACAGGUCACUAGGCUCUCUCCGUAAAGCAGGCAACAGGUCACUAGGCUCUCUCCGUAAAGCAGGCAACAGGUCACUAGGCUCUCUCCGUAAAGCAGGCAACAGGUCACUAGGCUCUCUCCGUAAAGCAGGCAACAGGUCACUAGGCUCUCUCCGUAAAGCAGGCAACAGGUCACUAGGCUCUCUCCGUAAAGCAGACAACAGGUCACUAGGCUCUCUCCGUAAAGCAGACAACAGGUCACUAGGCUCUCUCCGUAAAGCAGACAACAGGUCACUAGGCUCUCUCCGUAAAGCAGACAACAGGUCACUAGGCUCUCUCCGUAAAGCAGACAACA